GCCCAGGUCGCCUAAUCCGGAAUGGCGCAAAUGUAUGUGUAAGACUGGUAAGCUAGCGAGCGCAAGCUCUAGCGAGUUCAAAUCUCUCCCUGGGCG
rnacentral:tRNA from 1 species